CAGAGUGCCAACUGAAAUAACAGUAAACUGAUCUGCCCGUUCACUAGCGAAACCACCCCAACUUUUUCUGUCAGAAUGUCUGUCUCAGAGACUGAAGGGAAGGGGUCACACCUCAGAGGACAUAAAUAAGCGCCUCUUAAGUGUCCGGAAAUACCUUGCUGAGAAGAUCAGUGACAUAAACCGGGCAAAAACUGUCAGUGGUCUGAUCAGUCAGCCCCAGUGAAGCCUGUGAAUUAAGUGUGAACUUAACUGUGAAUUAAGCAAUAAAAAUUUAAUAUUAAUGUUUUGUGUCAGAUGUUUAUUUCCAGCUGGGCUGAGUAAACAAGCA